AUUGAACGCUGGCGGCAGGCCUAACACAUGCAAGUCGAAUGGUAACAGGAAACAGCUUGCUGUUUCGCUGACGAGUGGCGGACGGGUGAGUAAUGUCUGGGAAACUGCCUGAUGGAGGGGGAUAACUACUGGAAACGGUAGCUAAUACCGCAUAACGUCGCAAGACCAAAGAGGGGGACCUUCGGGCCUCUUGCCAUCAGAUGUGCCCAGAUGGGAUUAGCUAGUAGGUGGGGUAACGGCUCACCUAGGCGACGAUCCCUAGCUGGUCUGAGAGGAUGACCAGCCACACUGGAACUGAGACACGGUCCGGACUCCUACGGGAGGCAGCAGUGGGGAAUAUUGCACAAUGGGCGCAAGCCUGAUGCAGCCAUGCCGCGUGUAUGAAGAAGGCCUUCGGGUUGUAAAGUACUUUCAGCGGGGAGGAAGGGAGUAAAGUUAAUACCUUUGCUCAUUGACGUUACCCGCAGAAGAAGCACCGGCUAACUCCGUG
rnacentral:rRNA from 1 species